rnacentral:rRNA from 1 species
UACGUAGGGUGCAGGCGUUAAUCGGAAUUACUGGGCGUAAAGCGUGCGCAGGCGGUCUUUUAAGUCAGAUGUGAAAUCCCCGGGCUUAACCUGGGAACUGCGUUUGAAACUGGAAGGCUUGAGUGUGGCAGAGGGGGGUGGAAUUCCGCGCGUAGCAGUGAAAUGCGUAGAUAUGCGGAGGAACACCGAUGGCGAAGGCAAUCCCCUGGGCCUGUACUGACGCUCAUGCACGAAAGCGUGGGGAGCAAACAGG